rnacentral:rRNA from 1 species
GACGAACGCUGGCGGCGUGCUUAACACAUGCAAGUCGAACGGAAAGGCCCUUCUUGCAGGGUACUCGAGUGGCGAACGGGUGAGUAACACUUGGGUGCUCUGCUCUGCACUUCGGGAUAAUCUUGGGAAACUUGGUCUAAUACCGGAUAGUAGCCAUCUUUAUUGUGGUGGUUGGAAAGUUUUUUCGGUGUAGGAUGAGCUCGCGGCCUAUCAGCUUGUUGGUGGGGUAAUGGCCUACCAAGGCGGCGACGGGUAGCCGGCCUGAGAGGGUGUACGGCCACAUUGGGAAAGAGAUACGGCCAAGAAUCAGACGGGAGGAAGGAGUGAGGAAUAGUGCACAAAGGGAGCAAGCCUGAGGCAGGGACGCCGCGUGGGGGAGGAAGGACUUCGGGUUGUAAACUGCUUAAGCUAGGGACGAAGCUUUUUGUGACGGUACCUAGAGAAGAAGCACCGGCUAACUACGUG